AUACGUAGGUGGCAAGCGUUGUCCGGAAUUACUGGGCGUAAAGAGCUCGUAGGUGGUUUGUCGCGUCGUCUGUGAAAUUCCGGGGCUUAACUCCGGGCGUGCAGGCGAUACGGGCAUAACUUGAGUACUGUAGGGGAGACUGGACUUCCUGGUGUAGCGGUGAAAUGCGCAGAUAUCAGGAGGAACACCGGUGGCGAAGGCGGGUCUCUGGGCAGUAACUGACGCUGAGGAGCGAAAGCAUGGGUAGCGAACAGGAUUAGAUACCCUGGUAGUCCAUGCCGUAAACGGUGGGCGCUAGGUGUAGGGGUCUUCCACGACUUCUGUGCCGUAGCUAACGCAUUAAGCGCCCCGCCUGGGGAGUACGGCCGCAAGGCUAAAACUCAAAGGAAUUGACGGGG
rnacentral:rRNA from 1 species